AUUGAACGCUGGCGGCAUGCCUUACACAUGCAAGUCGAACGGUAACGGGCCUUCGGGUGCCGACGAGUGGCGAACGGGUGAGUAAUACAUCGGAACGUGCCCGAUCGUGGGGGAUAACGAGGCGAAAGCUUUGCUAAUACCUCAUACGAUCUACGGAUGAAAGCAGGGGACCGCAAGGCCUUGCGCGGACGGAGCGGCCGAUGGCAGAUUAGGUAGUUGGUGGGAUAAAAGCUUACCAAGCCGACGAUCUGUAGCUGGUCUGAGAGGAUGAUCAGCCACACUGGGACUGAGACACGGCCCAGACUCCUACGGGAGGCAGCAGUGGGGAAUUUUGGACAAUGGGCGCAAGCCUGAUCCAGCCAUGCCGCGUGCAGGAUGAAGGCCUUCGGGCUGUAAACUGCUUUUGUACGGAACGAAAAGCCUUCUUUUAAUACAGGAGGGUCAUGACGGUACCGUAAGAAUAAGCACCGGCUAACUACGUG
rnacentral:rRNA from 1 species